CAGGAGGCGACAUUAUACCUCCCACAGGAAGGACUCUCACAGCUGUGGACACAAGCACAAACAAGCAGGCGACUUUUGACAGAUUCAAUACCUCCAGGUGGAGGUGGGUGGCCAGAUGACUGCCCCGGCUGUUGCCACUUCCCACCGACGCCCCCGGCCCCCUUCAUUCUGUGUGACAGUCCUGCAGUCGACUCUUCUUCCUUAGAAAAGAGACAGUCUUUAAUAUGCAACUUAUCAAGUUAAAAAUCGCCAUCAAAUGUGAAUGAGUUGAAUCAUCUGAAAGGGAGAAGCAAAGUCCUCAACAAGAGAAAGCAGAGGUCAUCCACCAGUCAGACCUGGAACAUCAAAAACUGAAAAAUAUGGCAUACGUUUUUUUAGCUCGUUUAAAGGGAGUAACAAAAGAGGACUC